rnacentral:other from 1 species
UUGCCUGAGAUGUUCGAUACCCCUGCUGUUUUGAACCUACAUUUUAUUUAUUGGGACUCCUAUAUCUAUAUUAAUAUGUCAAGCCGCCAUGCAGCGGAAGACAGAAAAAAUAUGUGCGGUUACCCACCUGGCUUUAGCUAGGAGUCAAAAUUGCAGGAAACGGCAUUUUGGGUAA